rnacentral:rRNA from 1 species
AGAGUUUGAUCCUGGCUCAGGAUGAACGCUAGCGGCAGGCCUAACACAUGCAAGUCGAACGGUAACAGGGAGAAGCUUGCUUUUCCGCUGACGAGUGGCGCACGGGUGCGUAACGCGUAUACAAUCUACCUUUUACAGAGGGAUAGCCCAGAGAAAUUUGGAUUAAUACCUCAUAGUAUCCAGACACCGCAUGGCCGUCUGGAUUAAAGUUUCGGCGGUAAGAGAUGAGUAUGCGUUCUAUUAGCUAGUAGGUAGGGUAACGGCUUACCUAGGCAACGAUAGAUAGGGGCCCUGAGAGGGGGAUCCCCCACACUGGUACUGAGACACGGACCAGACUCCUACGGGAGGCAGCAGUGAGGAAUAUUGGACAAUGGGCGCAAGCCUGAUCCAGCCAUGCCGCGUGCAGGAAGACUGCCCUAUGGGUUGUAAACUGCUUUUAUACAGGAAGAAACGCCUCUACGUGUAGAGGUUUGACGGUACUGUAAGAAUAAGGAUCGGCUAACUCCGUGCCAGCAGCCGCGGUAAUACGGAGGAUCCAAGCGUUAUCCGGAAUCAUUGGGUUUAAAGGGUCCGUAGGUGGAUAAUUAAGUCAGAGGUGAAAUCCUGCAGCUCAACUGUAGAAUUGCCUUUGAUACUGGUUAUCUUGAGUUAUUAUGAAGUAGUUAGAAUACGUAGUGUAGCGGUGAAAUGCAUAGAUAUUACAUAGAAUACCAAUUGCGAAGGCAGAUUACUAAUAAUCAACUGACACUGAUGGACGAAAGCGUGGGGAGCGAACAGGAUUAGAUACCCUGGUAGUCCACGCCGUAAACGAUGGAUACUAGCUGUUCGGAUUUCGGUCUGAGUGGCUAAGCGAAAGUGAUAAGUAUCCCACCUGGGGAGUACGUUCGCAUGAAUGAAACUCAAAGGAAUUGACGGGGGCCCGCACAAGCGGUGGAGCAUGUGGUUUAAUUCGAUGAUACGCGAGGAACCUUACCAGGGCUUAAAUGUAGAGUGACAGGACUAGAGAUAGUUUUUUCUUCGGACACUUUACAAGGUGCUGCAUGGUUGUCGUCAGCUCGUGCCGUGAGGUGUCAGGUUAAGUCCUAUAACGAGCGCAACCCCCAUCUUUAGUUGCCAGCAGUUCGGCUGGGCACUCUAAAGAAACUGCCCGUGAUAAGCGGGAGGAAGGUGUGGAUGACGUCAAGUCCUCAUGGCCCUUACGUCCUGGGCUACACACGUGCUACAAUGGUAGGUACAGAGAGCAGCCACUGCGUGAGCAGGAGCGAAUCU